GAACAGCUCUUGCCCUAUUGAAGCAGACCUGCUGAGCCUCUGGACUCCACAGGGGAGGCAGACCACUGGGGCGCCGCUGCACACUGGAACAUGUUCUGUAUGUCAUUAUUACCUUAGGACCCCAGGCCUGGUCUUUACUGAUGGAGCGUUAAAUCAGAAGAUUUUGUAGGACGCAGGAAGUCGUCUGAGGAUGAGGGCUUUGGCGUCAUCCUGUUGGUUCUGCAGAAAAGAGAACCAGUAAGGUGUCUGUCCACAGAGGAGGAGGUUGACUGGAUAAAACUGGCUCACACUGUUACCGAGGCUGAGGAGUCCCAGUCCCUGCCUCCAGCUGUCUCAGUAGCUGAGGACAGCCUUGGACAUCCAAUCCUUUUGCUUCCACCUUCCAGGUACUGGGAUUACAGGCAUGUACAACUACACCCAGGUUAGACGGUUUAAUGUAUUUGGGCAUUGUCAAACAACCAAUGUCUGGGAUUAAGGGUGGAUUCAGUGGA
rnacentral:lncRNA from 1 species